UACUCUACUGUCCUCUAUCCAAAAUCUACCUUUUCAUUUUAGUCGUAUCUGUAACGGCCUGACCUGCUGGCAAUAAAAACUCGUUGGGUCCAAACCACUGGCCCAAAAUGCUUAAUUCAGUUAUUAUUACUAGCGUGUAGGUUUCAUAUAAACUGAUCGAAAAUCAGCAUCCUAUCCGAUGUGGGACUAUUAGGGCGUUACAGUAUAUGUAAAAGAUAUUUAGAAAAAAAAAAAAAGUCUCGAGCUUUGGAGUGAAAAAUGAUUAUCUAUGCAUACAUACCUCCGUGUUGCAAGUCAAGGUUGAUUAAAAGUCGUCCAAGGCGAAUGCACACGAGGAAUCAUUCAGUGUUUUAAUUUCAAAAAAAAGAAAU
rnacentral:lncRNA from 1 species